GAUGAACGCUGGCGGCGUGCCUAAUACAUGCAAGUCGGGCGAACGGACGAGAAGCUUGCUUCUCUGAUGUUAGCGGCGGACGGGUGAGUAACACGUGGAUAACCUACCUAUAAGACUGGGAUAACUUCGGGAAACCGGAGCUAAUACCGGAUAAUAUUUUGAACCGCAUGGUUCAAAAGUAAAAGACGGUCUUGCUGUCACUUAUAGAUGGAUCCGCGCUGCAUUAGCUAGUUGGUAAGGUAACGGCUUACCAAGGCAACGAUGCAUAGCCGACCUGAGAGGGUGAUCGGCCACACUGGAACUGAGACACGGUCCAGACUCCUACGGGAGGCAGCAGUAGGGAAUCUUCCGCAAUGGGCGAAAGCCUGACGGAGCAACGCCGCGUGAGUGAUGAAGGUCUUCGGAUCGUAAAACUCUGUUAUUAGGGAAGAACAUAUGUGUAAGUAACUGUGCACAUCUUGACGGUACCUAAUCAGAAAGCCACGGCUAACUACGUG
rnacentral:rRNA from 1 species